UAGCAGAGAGCCCAUUCAUUGCGACGGCCCAACUAUUUUAGCGCUGUGAUUGUGAGCCAGCCAAGCCAAAUAUAGUCGUAGACAGGUAUUUUUAGCCGCAAACCGUGUCCCCGUUUUCAUUCGUAAAGGCAACCCGAGACACGCGGACACGUGAAAGCAGCCACGGCUCCACAAUCAGCACAUUCACUGUCAACAUGUUGCUUUAGCAGAGGAUAGUUUUUUUUAUUGUCAGCUGAUGAGAAACGUAACAGCAGGAGCCCGUUCCACAGUAGCAUCAGUCUCACUGUCACACUGCCACGGACGUCCCGCCCCGUCUCUGUCCGUGGAGAAGGCUGGAGAAGUGGGGGAGUUUAAAAAACAAAAACAUCGCUUCUUCGGGCAGACACAUGAUGCAACAGUGUUUUUCACCUGUCUGUGUCCCGCUCGCUCUGGACGGCCAGGCUAUCAGCCACCUCCACUGUGACCUCACCGCGGUGACGUGUAAAUCCAGAUUAACCGACUCUGUUAUUCAGCCAGACAUGGAAGUGAUUAGAGAUUAUGACGGGAAGAAGCCCAGUGAGACGGCUUGAAUUUGGGUAUAAAAAGGUGAA